GAGCGAGGCCAGGUAGCAAUACCUGAGUCGAGCGGCAGACGGGUGAGUAACACGUGGGUGACCUACCUCGAGGUGGGGGAUAACCCGGGGAAACUCGGGCUAAUACCGCAUAACAUCGUGAGAUCAAAGCGGCCCGCAAGGGUCGCGCCGUGAGAGGGGCCCGCGUCUGAUUAGCUAGUUGGUGAGGUAACGGCUCACCAAGGCGACGAUCAGUAGCCGGCCUGAGAGGGCGAUCGGCCACACUGGAACUGAGACACGGUCCAGACUCCUACGGGAGGCAGCAGUGGGGAAUUUUGCGCAAUGGGGGAAACCCUGACGCAGCAACGCCGCGUGGAGGAUGAAGGUCCUUGGAUUGUAAACUCCUGUCAGCAGGGAAGAACUCCUUACGGUGAAUAACCGUAAGGAUUGACGGUACCUGCAGAGGAAGCCCCGGCUAACUCUGUGCCAGCAGCCGCGGUAAUACAGAGGGGGCAAGCGUUAUUCGGAAUUAUUGGGCGUAAAGGGCGCGUAGGCGGCUUCGCAAGUGGUGGGUGAAAUCCCUCGGCUUAACCGAGGAACUGCCCUCCAAACUGCGUUGCUGGAGUCCGGGAGAGGUGAGUGGAAUUCCCAGUGUAGCGGUGAAAUGCGUAGAUAUUGGGAGGAACACCAGUGGCGAAGGCGGCUCACUGGACCGGAACUGACGCUGAGGCGCGAAAGCGUGGGGAGCAAACGGGAUUAGAUACCCCGGUAGUCCACGCCGUAAACGAUGAGUGCUUGGUGUAGCGGGUAUCGACCCCUGCUGUGCCGAAGUCAACACAUUAAGCACUCCGCCUGGGGAGUACGGUCGCAAGGCUGAAACUCAAAUGAAUUGACGGGG
rnacentral:rRNA from 1 species